CCCUUAGAUGUUCUGGGCUGCACGCGCGCUACACUGACGCACGCAACAGGUGCCUGCUCCGAGAGGACUGGGUAAUCAUUUGAGUGUGCGUCGUGAUGGGGAUAGAAUAUUGUAAUUAUUACUCUUCAACGAGGAAUUCCUAGUAAGCGCCAGUCAGCAGCUUGCGCUGAUUACGUCCCUGCCCUUUGUACACACCGCCCGUCGCUCCUACCGAUGGGUUAUCCGGUGAAUGAUUCGGACUUCAGCGGCUCCCCUGGGGUGCGCCGGAGAAAGUUUUGUGAACCUUAUCACUUGGAGGAAGGAGAAGUCGUAACA
rnacentral:rRNA from 1 species